rnacentral:misc_RNA from 1 species
GAAAUGCGAUAACUAGUGUGAAUUGCAGAAUUCCGUGAAUCAUCGAGUCUUUGAACGCACAUUGCGCCCCCUGGUAUUCCGGGGGGCAUGCCUGUCCGAGCGUCAUUGCUGCCCAUCAAGCACGGCUUGUGUGUUGGGUCGUCGUCCCCUCUCCGGGGGGGACGGGCCCCAAAGGCAGCGGCGGCACCGCGUCCGAUCCUCGAGCGUAUGGGGCUUUGUCACCCGCUCUGUAGGCCCGGCCGGCGCUUGCCGAACGCAAAUCAAUCCUUUUCCAGGUUGACCUCGGAUCAGGUAGGGAUACCCGCUGAACUUAAGC